GCGUCAGUGGGGUCCCGCUCCGGCCCGUCCGCAUUCUUCUCGCCGUGGCGAGCUGCUCCUCCCUAAGUACGAGCGCUGAGAUGACCUCCCCUUCAACCACGAGCCUGGCCUGUGCGGAGCGUCCUGGAGUGCGCCGAGUGCGGAGCCUGGCCAUGGCUUUGUGCGCAGCCCCGAGUGCGGUGCUCCUUCCCGACCAUGAGCAGCUAACCGCCUUCUCCGCCCUCCUCCCAUCCACGAGUGGCCGUCAAUCUGGAGCUACACACUGGUUUGUCGUUUCUCUGUUGGUUUGCUUCCGUUGUGUUUUGGUUCUGCGUGCUGGCGUUUCAUAGGUGUGCAGCCAAAGCUGCAAUCAUGACUGGAAUUAUUUUGCUUGGGAAUUAGCAGAAGGGGACAACACGGGGCAAGGGGUCUGGUGUCAGCAUUCAUGUCCUGUUCUACCCCAACCCGGAGCAUGGCGACGACGGUCUAUUCUGUGGCGCUUUCUACCCCCCAUCAGCCUUACUUCCAGGAGUAGCAGCUUGAGAGCAGGGCCAGAGUGCGUCACCGCCUUGACCAGAUUUCGUCAACCUCCCUGUCAGCUUCCUACUGGAGAUGCUUCACCAACUUAGAAUCUUGCUAUUAUUUCUUGUAUGGGUUCUUACGGUCGGGUGCCGAGCAACACACCCGAGCUGAAGAAAGACCUUGAGAUUUUGCAGUCAGGCCUAAUAUUGGAUGAAUUCGAUGAUGCAGUGUGGAGGAUGACCGACGAGCGCGACGGAGGCGGACGAGACAAUGGCGGUGGCGGGUGAGAGGAGGCACCCGUUGAAGGGUGGCGAUAGCCAGUCUUUGCACAAGAUAGAGUUUGGAUGUCCAGGAGAUUCACCGAGAGCGACAACAACCACCAUUGGCCUUCGUGGACUCCGUCGCUGCCCCAGCUAUGGAAUCCUUCAAAUAAAUAACCACAGUAUAUGGUUCUCAUCCUCCCUCAACUCAGGUUACAGUUGCUGUAUUGUAGUUACCUUCUUGGGCAGCUCUACCUCUGUCGUGAACUGUGAUGGUUUUCCCUUGCUCCAUUUGAGUGGUGGUAUGCUUAUCAUUUCUCCUUAUCAUUUGAGGUUUCAGCAACGACGAGCAUGGCCAAGCUAGACACCAAGUGCGGUCUUUUGGGAGACGCAAGCUGUAAUCUUUCGACACUAUCAGAUAUAAGAGUACCUGAUAAGGUGAUGGGUUUCUUCUCUUUUCUCUUAAAAUUUGGGUGGUACAUUUUUUUGUGGUAAAUCUCCGUGAAUAUAUAACUGAAUAAUUGAAGAAGCAUUCAGAAGUUGUGAAAUACAAUAUGAGUUAUUUUGGGGUAAAUCUGCAUGCUAGAAAGUCCAUGCCAUAUAUUACUCCGUCCAUUUCAUUCAGCAAGUUCUUGCAUCUCUUGCUUGCCAUGGUACACAAGAUGCCAUUUGUUUUGAGUUAAUAUGUCUUAAAUUAGAGUGGCUGGGAGCUUAGGAGAUGCUAAAAUCGAGCUUAUUUGCCAAAAAAAGGAUUACUUUUCUUAUCUGCCUAAGAAAGAGUUUCAUAUAACUAACCUCUCUUGACACAACAUUGACACGACUAACCUUAGUGUGUACUGAAGCAGGAAAGCAUUUGCCCCUCUUUUACUUUAGAACGAUAUUCAGUGCUAAUUUCGAGUGGAAGAAGUGGGAAAAUUUCAGGUGCUUACUAUCAAGGAUUGUAAAUAUCGAGGAGGACAGAUAUGUUGAUCUGCUCUGAUGGUGGAGGCCGGCGCUGGCUUGGGGUUUCACGAUCAUGAUGGUCAUCCUUUCUGCCUUUUAGCAGCACUGCAUGGCGUCGACAGUGUGCUGGAGAAGCUUCAGCAGCAACCCUGAAGUAGCCUGUGUGUAAUUUCUCAUGUUCUCUGCAUGUUUUGUGUCAGAUUUCAUUUCCUUUUUGUUUUCAAGGUCAUUCACAUCCCUAUUAAUUAGUUACUGAUGAAGAUAUAUUUUAUUAUGUCUCUUUAUGAUUUCUUCGCAAACUGCUUAGUUUUACACAUCCAGUUGUACUAUUUUGUUAUGUCCUCUUCAGGUUCAUGUGCAUGUACUCUUCAGUUUUACACAUUGACCGUUUUCUGCAGGUUCAUAUGCACAAUCGAUGGUGCGCUCACGGCAUGGCAACCAUGGUCUACGGGUUGGAGCAGUGGUACCAGCCACAUGGCGUCCAAGGCGCUGCUCGUGGUGGUGGAACCUCAGGUGGUGAUCAUAAGAGAGUAGAAGGAGAGUAUGGUGCCAAACAUGGAGGAGCCCCUUGUUGGGGGCAACGUUGAGAAUAUAUAGGGACAGGAGAUAGGUUGGUACUGAUUGAGGUCAAGAAGAAGUUGUACUCGUGUCCGGGCAUCUCGCUGUUGGAUUUCAUGAAUUAUUAUAGAUGUAUGAGUAGAAGAAAUUCAAAAGGGAAGCAUAGUUGAAGAAUGCUGAUGAUAAUGAGCGCUCAUUGUGGUCGAUGUGAACACCGAAAAGAUGGGAUGCAUUCAGGUAAAAGUAUGGGUACCUUUCGGUAUGCUGUGAUCGGUGUUCAGUCCUAGCUGUUUUUUUUUUGCUUGGCUCGUGUAGGAAAUGGGGUUGAAGAUAUUCCGUCUGCUGUCACAUUCAAUGUCAUCGCAAAUUAUACAUCACCAAGCAUAAUCUCGAAUGGUGCAAGUGGAGCUGCGGUGAGAUGGCUGAUCCAAAAAUGGAGGGGUUGUGCCCUGCAAAAUUUCAAUAUUGUUUCACUGACGUGAUCGCCUUGUGUCUAGGUGCUUCGGUAAGGUUGCUGGCUGCUGAUCUCGAAGUGUUUUUGUUCUGGGUACUUGUAUGAUUGAGGAAGAGUGUGUUAUUCCUAAAUGUGCUAUUGCAGAUCCAAGGCAUGGGGUUUGCAUUUGCUGCUGGAACCACAGAUGACCCUGGAGCUUUUGAUUUCAAACAACCAGGUGACAAGAUUUACUUGGACUUUUCUGUAUGUUUGACAUGGAUGCUUACCAUCCAGGAACAUCAGUAGAUAUUAAGGGGUACAGAAGCAUUGUAUGCGCUGACCAAAAAAAGAAGGUGUUCCUUCCGUUAUUAUCGUGUAUGUAGCACCAACGUUCUAUGAAACCACGAUAGUAUCACUUAAGUUAUGUAAUAUAUUUGUGAAAAUAUUCAUAUGAUGGUUACAGUAUUGUC